UACGUAGGGUGCGAGCGUUGUCCGGAAUUAUUGGGCGUAAAGAGCUCGUAGGCGGUCUGUCGCGUCGAUCGUGAAAACUUGGGGCUUAACCCUGGGCUUGCGGUCGAUACGGGCAUGACUGGAGUUCGGCAGGGGAGACUGGAAUUCCUGGUGUAGCGGUGAAAUGCGCAGAUAUCAGGAGGAACACCGGUGGCGAAGGCGGGUCUCUGGGCCGAUACUGACGCUGAGGAGCGAAAGCGUGGGGAGCGAACAGG
rnacentral:rRNA from 1 species